rnacentral:rRNA from 1 species
NAUGUCCUUUUGAAUAUUAUUUAAGGUCUAAUCUGCUCAAUGACGAUUUAAAUUGCCGCGGUAUCUUGACCGUGCGAAGGUAGCAUAAUAAUUAGUUUUUUUAUUGAAAGCUGGAAUGAAUGGUUGGACGAGAAAACGACUGUCUCUGUUAGAUUUAUUUUUGAAUUUAACUUUUAAGUAAAAAGGCUUAAAUGUUUCUUAAAGACGAGAAGACCCUAUAGAGUUUAAUAUUUUUAAUAAUUAAAGUUUUUUGGAAUUUCUUUCUUUAAUUUUUAAUAGUAUUUAGUUGGGGUGACUAGAAGAUUAAAUACACUCUUCUAAAAUAUUUAUAUUGAUUUGUAGAUUUAUAUUCUGAAUUUUUCAAGUUUAAAAUUAAUUACCUUAGGGAUAACAGCGUAAUUUCUCUUUAGAGCUCUUAUUGGAAGGGAAGUUUGCGACCUCGAUGUUGGAUUAAAAUUAAUGUUGGGUGCAGUAGCUCAAUUAUUAGGUCUGUUCGACCUUUAAAAUUUUACAUGAUCU